GGAAGUCAGGCUUAAUUAGAGCUUUUGAAAGCUCAAGAGUUAAUACCUGCCCAUUAAACCUAACCACCAAUGAUUUGCUGUUCAUUUGCUGGCAAUAAGGGGCUGCGCUCACAGGCAUGGCGACUGGGAUGUGGGGCUGUAUUAGUGGGAACCAUCAUGGGAGGAAGGACCAUGGGUAUGGCUCCAUGCCCAGCUUGGGAGGGUAGGCAGAGGCCAGGGAAAGAAGGAGCAGAUGUUUGACCUUUUGGAGGCUUGGAGAAAAGUCUGCAGUUCAGAAACACUAGGAGGGUUGGAAAAUAUUUCAUCUGGUAAAAGUGAAGAGUCUAAGGGAAUGCUUUCUGUGAGGUGUCAUGUUCAUCAGCUCUUUUAAAGGUGAAAACGAUGAUUGGCAUCAAUCGGUUGUUAGCAUGAACUCCAUGAACACAGUGGGCUUGAUGAAGAAAUUAAGCAGAUCUUGUAUUCUCUCUCUUUUCUGCAGUGAGAGAGGAUUUGGGUCACUAAAGUCUCCUUUUCCUGACUUAUCCUGCUUUUAAAUUAACUUGCCUCAGUUUCCCUUCCUGUAGGCUUCUUCCACAUUGUGGUGCUUUGGAGUUGCCGUCAGUCAAACAACAGUGAUCUCCUGAGGAAAGGUGCUGUGUAAAUUUAGGACAAGUCACGCAUUUAAAGAUUCAGACUUUUCUAUGUGUAGGAGUAUUCAAAUCCAAGAUUUCAUUUUGUCUCAUUGCAGAAAAUAGUGCCAAGCGCAAUGUUUGAUUCCAAAUCAUGAUACAAAUAGCUCAAAUUUGGUGAAAAUAA